rnacentral:tRNA from 1 species
GCACCCGUAGCUCAACUGGAUAGAGCGUCUGACUUCGGAUCAGAAGGUUGAGGGUUCGAGUCCUUCCGGGUGUA